rnacentral:rRNA from 1 species
CAGUAGCCACGGUAAUACGAACCGUGCGAACGUUAUUCGGAAUUACUGGGCUUAAAGCGCGUGUAGGCGGGCCGCCACGUCGGUUGCUGAAAUCCCCCGGCUCAACCGGGGAAGUGGCAUCGAUACGAGCGGCCUUGAGGGGGGUAAGGGGAUCUGGAACUUCCGGUGGAGCGGUGAAAUGCGUUGAGAUCGGAAGGAACGCCCGUGGCGAAAGCGAGGUCCUGGACCCUUUCUGACGCUGAGACGCGAAAGCCAGGGGAGCGAACGGGAUUAGAUACCCGCGUAGUCCCUGUCUCUUAUA